rnacentral:rRNA from 1 species
GGAAAAUGCGGCAGCUACACAUGCAGUCGAGCGGUAGCACAGAGAGCUUGCUCUCGGGUGACGAGCGGCGGACGGGUGAGUAAUGUCUGGGAAACUGCCUGAUGGAGGGGGAUAACUACUGGAAACGGUAGCUAAUACCGCAUAAUGUCGCAAGACCAAAGUGGGGGACCUUCGGGCCUCAUGCCAUCAGAUGUGCCCAGAUGGGAUUAGCUAGUAGGUGGGGUAACGGCUCACCUAGGCGACGAUCCCUAGCUGGUCUGAGAGGAUGACCAGCCACACUGGAACUGAGACACGGUCCAGACUCCUACGGGAGGCAGCAGUGGGGAAUAUUGCACAAUGGGCGCAAGCCUGAUGCAGCCAUGCCGCGUGUGUGAAGAAGGCCUUCGGGUUGUAAAGCACUUUCAGCGGGGAGGAAGGCGUUAAGGUUAAUAACCUUGUCGAUUGACGUUACCCGCAGAAGAAGCACCGGCUAACUCCGUGCCAGCAGCCGCGGUAAUACGGAGGGUGCAAGCGUUAAUCGGAAUUACUGGGCGUAAAGCGCACGCAGGCGGUCUGUCAAGUCGGAUGUGAAAUCCCCGGGCUCAACCUGGGAACUGCAUUCGAAACUGGCAGGCUAGAGUCUUGUAGAGGGGGGUAGAAUUCCAGGUGUAGCGGUGAAAUGCGUAGAGAUCUGGAGGAAUACCGGUGGCGAAGGCGGCCCCCUGGACAAAGACUGACGCUCAGGUGCGAAAGCGUGGGGAGCAAACAGGAUUAGAUACCCUGGUAGUCCACGCCGUAAACGAUGUCGAUUUGGAGGUUGUGCCCUUGAGGCGUGGCUUCCGGAGCUAACGCGUUAAAUCGACCGCCUGGGGAGUACGGCCGCAAGGUUAAAACUCAAAUGAAUUGACGGGGGCCCGCACAAGCGGUGGAGCAUGUGGUUUAAUUCGAUGCAACGCGAAGAACCUUACCUGGUCUUGACAUCCACAGAACUUUCCAGAGAUGGAUUGGUGCCUUCGGGAACUGUGAGACAGGUGCUGCAUGGCUGUCGUCAGCUCGUGUUGUGAAAUGUUGGGUUAAGUCCCGCAACGAGCGCAACCCUUAUCCUUUGUUGCCAGCGGUUAGGCCGGGAACUCAAAGGAGACUGCCAGUGAUAAACUGGAGGAAGGUGGGGAUGACGUCAAGUCAUCAUGGCCCUUACGACCAGGGCUACACACGUGCUACAAUGGCAUAUACAAAGAGAAGCGACCUCGCGAGAGCAAGCGGACCUCAUAAAGUAUGUCGUAGUCCGGAUUGGAGUCUGCAACUCGACUCCAUGAAGUCGGAAUCGCUAGUAAUCGUAGAUCAGAAUGCUACGGUGAAUACGUUCCCGGGCCUUGUACACACCGCCCGUCACACCAUGGGAGUGGGUUGCAAAAGAAGUAGGUAGCUUAACCUUCGGGAGGGCGCUACCACUUGGUUACCGGGG